UACGGAAGGCAGCAGUGGGGAAUAUUGCACAAUGGGCGAAAGCCUGAUGCAGCUAUGCCGCGUGUAUGAAGAAGGCCUUAGGGUUGUAAAGUACUUUCAUCGGGGAGGAAAAACAAAACUAAUAAUUUUAUUUCUUGACGUUACCCGAAAAAGAAGCACCGGCUAACUCCGUGCCAGCAGCCGCGGUAAUACGGAGGGUGCUAGCGUUAAUCAGAAUUACUGGGCGUAAAGAGCACGUAGGUGGUUUUUUUAAGUCAGAUGUGAAAUCCCUGGGCUUUAACCUAGGAACUGCAUUUUGAAACUGAAAUACUAGAGUAUCGUAGAGGGAGGUAGAAUUCUAGGUGUAGCGGUGAAAUGCGUAGAUAUCUGGAGGAAUACCUGUGGCGAAAAGCGGCCCCCUGGACAAAAGACUGACGCUCAUGUGCGAAAGCGUGGGGAGCAAAACAGGGAUUAGAUACC
rnacentral:rRNA from 1 species